CGAGAUCAUGACCCCAGCCGAAACCAAGAGUCGAACGUCCAACCAAGCUACCCAGGGUAGAAGUCCAAAGCCAAGGUGCCGGAGGGCCAUGCUUCCUCUGAGCCAAGCCUUCCUUGCCCCCCUCCUGGUUUUCUUAACCGGAAGUCUUCGACAUUCCCCUGCUUGAAGCUCCUAUCUGUCCCUUCAAUGUCACCCAAUGUUAUCCUGGUGAAUUGGUGUCUUCAAAUGGCCAUCUUCUGAGAAGAACACCGGUCAUAUGGGAUUAGGGGCCCAUCCUACUCUAAUAUGACCUCAUCUUCGCUGAUGACACCUGCAGAGACCCUGGUUCCCAAUAACGUCGCAUUCUGAGAUACUCGGGGUUAGGACUUCAACAUAUUUUGGCUGGGGGGCAGGGGCGAGACACAAUUCAACCCAUAACAUUGCUAUAUUGUUAUUACAUAUUGCUGUCCACGUAUUUACAAACCCCACACUAUGUUAUUUUUGCAUUAAACAGUUAUAUGUUAAAGAUA